rnacentral:snRNA from 1 species
GGAUGUGAGGGCGAUCUGGCUGCGACAUCUGUCACCCCAUUGAUAGCCAGAGUUGAUUUGGCUGAUCUGGCUGGCUAGGCUGGUGUCCCCUUCCUCCCUCACCGCUUCAUGUGUGUCUCACCCAAAGCUGCGUGCUGCGUGGAAGAGGACAACCAUCCCAUAUAGAAGGAGUGUACCAUUCUUCAGUCAAGGUAUACAACAGCUGUGCUCCCCUGCUAGAACCUCCGAUAUAAUCACAGGAGAAUCACAGGUUUUAGCCCACAUCUGCAGGCACCCCAAAACUCAUAAGCAGAUCAUUAUGAUGCAACAGUUU